UUUUUAUGGAGAGUUUGAUCCUGGCUCAGGAUGAACGCUGGCGGCGUGCCUAAUACAUGCAAGUCGAGCGAACAGACGAGGAGCUUGCUCCUCUGACGUUAGCGGCGGACGGGUGAGUAACACGUGGAUAACCUACCUAUAAGACUGGGAUAACUUCGGGAAACCGGAGCUAAUACCGGAUAAUAUAUUGAACCGCAUGGUUCAAUAGUGAAAGACGGUUUUGCUGUCACUUAUAGAUGGAUCCGCGCCGCAUUAGCUAGUUGGUAAGGUAACGGCUUACCAAGGCAACGAUGCGUAGCCGACCUGAGAGGGUGAUCGGCCACACUGGAACUGAGACACGGUCCAGACUCCUACGGGAGGCAGCAGUAGGGAAUCUUCCGCAAUGGGCAAAGCCUGACGGAGCAACGCCGG
rnacentral:rRNA from 1 species